UACAGAGGUCUCGAGCGUUAGGCGGAAUCACUGGGCUUAAAGCGUGUGUAGGUGGAUCGUUAAGUACCUUGUGAAAUCCCACGGCUUAACCGUGGAACUGCUUGGUAUACUGGCGGUCUUGAGCCACUUAGGGGCUACCGGAACAAAUGGUGGAGCGGUGAAAUUCGUAGAUAUUCGCAAGAACACCAGUGGCGAAGGCGGCUCACUGGCCCGGUACUGACGCUGGGGUGCGAAAGCGUGGGGAGCAAACAGG
rnacentral:rRNA from 1 species